rnacentral:rRNA from 1 species
GUUGGGAAUAUUGGACAAUGGAGGAAACUCUGAUCCAGUGACGCCGCGUGAAGGAAGAAGGUCUUCGGAUUGUAAACUUAUUUUGUCAGGGAAGAAAAAAAUGACUGUACCUGAAGAAAAAGCACCGGCUAACUACGUGCCAGCAGCCGCGGUAAUACGUAGGGUGCAAGCGUUAUCCGGAUUUACUGGGUGUAAAGGGCGAGUAGACGGCGAUGCAAGUCAGAUGUGAAAUGCUAGGGCUUAACCUUAGAACUGCAUCUGAAACUGUAUUGCUAGAGUGCAGGAGAGGUAAACGGAAUUCCUAGUGUAGCGGUGAAAUGCGUAGAUAUUAGGAGGAACAUCAGUGGCGAAGGCGGUUUACUGGACUGUAACUGACGUUGAGGCGCGAAAGCGUGGGGAGCAAACAGGA